UACGUAGGCAGCAAGCGUUGUUCGGAGUUACUGGGCGUAAAGGGUGUGUAGGCGGUUGUUUAAGUUUGGUGUGAAAUCUCCCGGCUCAACUGGGAGGGUGCGCCGAAUACUGAAUGACUAGAGUGCGGGAGAGGAAAGUGGAAUUCCUGGUGUAGCGGUGAAAUGCGUAGAUAUCAGGAGGAACACCGGUGGGGUAGGCGGCGCUCUGGGUCGAGACUGACGCUGAGGCGCGAAAGCGUGGGGAGCGAACGGG
rnacentral:rRNA from 1 species